UCUCCGUUGGUGAACCAGCGGAGGGAUCAUUACAGGAUUCGCAAGAACUCCCGUAACCACUGUGAACCUUACCUUCUGUUGCCUCGGCGGGUUCUGCCUCCCAUCUCGGGAGCAGGCUCAAGCCCGCCGGUGGCCCAACUAAACUCUUGUAUUAUUUGUUAUCUGAGAGUUAUUUUUAAAAUAAGUCAAAACUUUCAACAACGGAUCUCUUGGUUCUGGCAUCGAUGAAGAACGCAGC
rnacentral:misc_RNA from 1 species